rnacentral:rRNA from 15 species
AGAGUUUGAUCAUGGCUCAGAUUGAACGCUGGCGGCAGGCCUAACACAUGCAAGUCGAACGGUAACAGGAAGCAGCUUGCUGUUUCGCUGACGAGUGGCGGACGGGUGAGUAAUGUCUGGGAAACUGCCUGAUGGAGGGGGAUAACUACUGGAAACGGUAGCUAAUACCGCAUAACGUCGCAAGACCAAAGAGGGGGACCUUCGGGCCUCUUGCCAUCGGAUGUGCCCAGAUGGGAUUAGCUUGUUGGUGGGGUAACGGCUCACCAAGGCGACGAUCCCUAGCUGGUCUGAGAGGAUGACCAGCCACACUGGAACUGAGACACGGUCCAGACUCCUACGGGAGGCAGCAGUGGGGAAUAUUGCACAAUGGGCGCAAGCCUGAUGCAGCCAUGCCGCGUGUAUGAAGAAGGCCUUCGGGUUGUAAAGUACUUUCAGCGGGGAGGAAGGGAGUAAAGUUAAUACCUUUGCUCAUUGACGUUACCCGCAGAAGAAGCACCGGCUAACUCCGUGCCAGCAGCCGCGGUAAUACGGAGGGUGCAAGCGUUAAUCGGAAUUACUGGGCGUAAAGCGCACGCAGGCGGUUUGUUAAGUCAGAUGUGAAAUCCCCGGGCUCAACCUGGGAACUGCAUCUGAUACUGGCAAGCUUGAGUCUCGUAGAGGGGGGUAGAAUUCCAGGUGUAGCGGUGAAAUGCGUAGAGAUCUGGAGGAAUACCGGUGGCGAAGGCGGCCCCCUGGACGAAGACUGACGCUCAGGUGCGAAAGCGUGGGGAGCAAACAGGAUUAGAUACCCUGGUAGUCCACGCCGUAAACGAUGUCGACUUGGAGGUUGUGCCCUUGAGGCGUGGCUUCCGGAGCUAACGCGUUAAGUCGACCGCCUGGGGAGUACGGCCGCAAGGUUAAAACUCAAAUGAAUUGACGGGGGCCCGCACAAGCGGUGGAGCAUGUGGUUUAAUUCGAUGCAACGCGAAGAACCUUACCUGGUCUUGACAUCCACGGAAGUUUUCAGAGAUGAGAAUGUGCCUUCGGGAACCGUGAGACAGGUGCUGCAUGGCUGUCGUCAGCUCGUGUUGUGAAAUGUUGGGUUAAGUCCCGCAACGAGCGCAACCCUUAUCCUUUGUUGCCAGCGGUCCGGCCGGGAACUCAAAGGAGACUGCCAGUGAUAAACUGGAGGAAGGUGGGGAUGACGUCAAGUCAUCAUGGCCCUUACGACCAGGGCUACACACGUGCUACAAUGGCGCAUACAAAGAGAAGCGACCUCGCGAGAGCAAGCGGACCUCAUAAAGUGCGUCGUAGUCCGGAUUGGAGUCUGCAACUCGACUCCAUGAAGUCGGAAUCGCUAGUAAUCGUGGAUCAGAAUGCCACGGUGAAUACGUUCCCGGGCCUUGUACACACCGCCCGUCACACCAUGGGAGUGGGUUGCAAAAGAAGUAGGUAGCUUAACCUUCGGGAGGGCGCUUACCACUUUGUGAUUCAUGACUGGGGUGAAGUCGUAACAAGGUAACCGUAGGGGAACCUGCGGUUGGAUCACCU